rnacentral:rRNA from 1 species
AGAGCGAACGCUGGCGGCGUGCUUAACACAUGCAAGUCGAGUGCGCGCCUGUAGCAAUACAGGUGGCGCACGGCGCACGGGUGCGUAACACGUGGGUAAUCUGCCCUUCGAUGGGGAAUAACUCCGGGAAACCGAAGCUAAUUCCGCAUAACAUUCCUUGAACUUCGGUUGGGACUCAAAGCCGUAAGGCGUCGGAGGAGGAACCCGCGCACGAUUAGCUAGUUGGUAGGGUAACGGCCUACCAAGGCUUUGAUCGUUAGC